rnacentral:lncRNA from 1 species
AAUCGAGUUUCCGUAUGCGGUUUAUUACAUUUUGAGCUCAAAGCAGUGCUGCUAUAGUUGAUUUCCAUGCCAUACUGAGGGUAAAUCGAUCAGAUAUAAGCAGAAGAGGUUGAUUGUCACAUUUGGUCAAAGCUGGAGUGAUUGUGCAGGCGACGCUGCUCUGCUUUUGCCCUUUCAGGUAAUCCAUUUCGAGGUUGGCGUGAAUGGAUUUGUUUUUGGAUCUUUUUCUGCAGUAAGUUUCCAUUGUUACGAAUAUUCUGAUGCAAUUAUGUGCUAGGAAUACUUAUUUGAUAAUCCAACUAAUCACUCAAAAGAAUUAGAUAUUUGGAAAUCUAAAGGUUUGUUCUAUGACAUCUGUAUUUGUCGCAAUAAGUGUUAUUAGUAUUUGCUUUUCAAAAAUAAGUCAUCUAGUUAACAAAUAAAGCCAUCGAUUAUUAGAAUAGUUAUUACUUUCAGUUGAUGGUUCAUGAAGUUAUUUAUAAUUUCUUAUAUUGCUUGGGUAGUAAAUUAGGUAAGUGAAUAAGUUGAAUGUAUUGGGCUCAGGGAGUUGAAUGUAUUCUUCUGCUUCGUUUUUUUUUUUUGGGCAAUCACACUAGGCAAAUGCCUAGGGCUCGACUUUAUUAAUAAUCAAAAAGAAAAUUACAACAAUUAGGAAAAUUAAAAUAAGGAUUAGCACCGGUGUUGUUACCCAUAUAACACAACCAGUGUAAACCUUAUCCUAAUAAUCCUAUUGAGGCAAAUAAAAACCUCACAUAUUAGCAAGCAUGUAAAAAGAAAGAACUAGCAAGAACUAAGAAUUUGUUAAUCAUCACAAAGUUUAUAACGUACUAUGUAAUGAUAUUACAAAUUAUGAUACUAAUGAGAUGAUAAUAAUGAGAUGAAGAAACCACCUUGGUGUUCUCUUUUUUCUAGAUUUGUGAAUACUUCCAUUUGUAGAUUGAUAUCUUCCUCCACAAUAUUUUUCAAAAAUACUUCAAAGUUCAUGGUUUUUUUAUCAAACGAUUGGCCUUUGAUUGAUUGAGCUGUUUUUGUUUUGCAUUUCUCUCACAUUUUUUAUCAAUCGAUUGGCCCUUGAAGCUAUUGUUUGAUUGAGCUGUUUUUGUUUUGCGUUUCUCAUUGGGGGUCUCCUUAUUAAAUCGCCUUCUAUCACCCUGUCGUCCCAACUUCUAUUCCUUGCACGCGGGUUGGUACUUUUUCCACUAUGCAAUGGUGAUAAAUCACCAUUUUUUGAAGUGUCUGUCCAGCAUUUCUGUAAAAUAUCCUCUUCCUCUCCUUCUUCAUAUAUAUGUCUACUUGUUGAAAUUGGAUUUGGCAUAUCUUGAAAAUUGCCUUGACUUAGCAAUGUUGUUUCAGCUUGUACAUUUGCCGAAAUUGCCUUGUUUUGAAUUUGUUUUUGCGAUUUGUUCCUACUCAUAUUUGCACGGCUUGAACUGGAAUUAUCAAGGGCUAGAGCAUCUGUAAUUUAUCUUCGCAUCCAAAAUUUGUCUUUCUUCUGAAGAGAAUAAAGGAUUAUUUGUUACGAAGUGUCUUUCAUCGUCUUGCUGCUGUUCAGAACUAUGACUUAAAACCAAAGGUUGGCUCGUUCCAUCGACAUGAUUCCUCUGCUCUAAAAUACUUGCUGGUUCAGUUGUGACCAAAAGAUUUUGUCCAGUUUUUUUUUCGAGCAGAAGCAUUUUUGUCUGCUGAAUGUUGGUCUGGUUGGAUGUGAAUUCCUGUUGCUAUUUUGUCGAUCUUUGGUAUUGCUGUAUUUGAACUAACUGCUUUUGCAGUAUUUGUUGGAAGAAAAACUAGAGCGUUAUGGUUCAACUUGCUGAUUGAAUUUGCUGUAGUUACCACAGAUGCACGACAAUUCAGAUUGGUCUGCUUUGAUAAUGCAGGUCUCCCGUUGAAGCUUGCUCUAUUUGCCGCAGAUGUACGCCAAUUCAGAUUGGUCUGUUUUCAUGAUGCAGGUCUCCCAUUGAAUUUUUGUUUGAUUGGAGCGUCAAAGUCCUCUCCUGCACUAUCCUGAUCAGUUUGUUGAUCGUCUUCUUCGGUUGAAAAACCAGCAAAACCAACUCCCCAUCCCACAUCAUCAUCAUACUCUCGUUGGUCUUUCCACAGUUUCAAGUUAAUGACAAUCUUCCUCAUGUUUGCUUGAAUUAUUGCUUUGUUACUACCAAAAGAGAUUGCUGGUUGUCCAUAUUGUUGUUGCUCGUCAGUUGAUUCAAAUGAUUGAUGCAGUGAGGCCAAAGAUUGCAUGAACUUAGGAACAUUGGACAUCAUUUUAUCCUGUGUAUCUUUGGUGACAGUUUGAUCCGUUG